rnacentral:rRNA from 1 species
GGCGCGAAAACUUUACAAUGCGGGAAACCGUGAUAAGGGGACACCGAGUGCCAGCAUCAUAUGCUGGCUGUCCGGAUGUGUAAAAUACAUCCGUUAGCAAGGGCCGGGCAAGACCGGUGC